rnacentral:lncRNA from 1 species
CUCGUGCUUAUAAUAAUAAGUAAACUUUAGAUUUUUAUCGUUAUUUUUAUCUAACUUACCUAUUUUUACCUGUAAAUAUAGAAUAGAUUAAAUACCUAUGUUCUUAUACCCUGUAAUUCCAAAGUAAUUCAGUUGUUACUGCUAGUUUGGAAAUUUUUAAUAAUAAUAAUAAUAAUAAUAAUAAAAAGUCCUACAGAAGUCAUUUUGUGAUUCGAAAAUGGUUGAAUUUUAAUUAUACAAUCUAGAGAAAAAGGUUAAGGUGAAUAAGUUGCGCCAGGCUACAGUCAACGAGCUAGUGGUAAAGACUACAGGUUGUGUAAUGUACCAUUGUGGUUCAAGUCCUACAGAAGUCAUUUUGUGAUUCGAAAAGGGUUGAAUUUUAAUUAUACAAUCUACAGAAAAAGGUUAAGGUGAAUAAGUUGCGAUAGGCUACAGACAACGAGCAAGUGGUCUAGUGGUAAAGACUACAGGUUGUGUAAUGUACCAUUGUGGUACAAGUCCUACAGAAGUCAUUUUCUGAUUCGAAAAUGGUUGAAUUUUAAUUAUACAAUCUACAGAAAAAGGUUAAGGUGAAUAAGUUGCGAUAGGCUACAGACAACGAGCAAGUGGUCUGGUGGUAAGGACUACGGGUUGUGUGGUGUACCAUUGUGGUUCAGGUCCUACGGAAGUCAUUUUGUGAUUCGGAAAUGGUUGAGUUUUGGUUGUGCGAUCUACUGAAAAAAGUUAAGGUGAAUAAGUUGCGAUAGGCUACAGACAACGAGCAAGUGGUCUAGUGGUAAAGACUACAGGUUGUGUAAUGUACCAUUGUGGUUCAAGUCCUACAGAAGUCAUUUUGUGAUUCGAAAAUGGUUGAAUUUUAAUUAUACAAUCUACAGAAAAAGGUUAAGGUGAAUAAGUUGCGGUAGGCUACAGACAACGAGCAAGUGGUCUAGUGGUAAAGACUACAGCGGUAAUGUACCAUUGUGGUUCAAGUCCUACAGAAGUCAUUUUGUGAUUUGAAAAUGGUUGAAUUUUAAUUAUACAAUCUAGAGAAAAAGGUUAAGGUGAAUAAGUUGCGGUAGGCUACAGACAACGAGCAAGUGGUCUAGUGGUAAACACUACAGGUUGUGUAAUGUACCAUUGUGGUUCAAGUCCUACAAAAGUCAUUUUGUGAUUCGAAAAUGGUUGAAUUUUAAUUAUACAAUCUAGAGAAAAAGGUUAAGGUGAAUAAGUUGCGAUAGGCUACAGACAACGAGCAAGUGGUCUAGUGGUAAAGAUUACAGGUUGUGUAAUGUACCAUUGUGGUUCAAGUCCUACAGAAGUCAUUAUCUGAUUCGAAAAUGGUUGAAUUUUAAUUAUACAAUCUACAGAAAAAGGUUAAGGUGAAUAAGUUGCGGUAGGCUACAGACAACGAGCAAGUGGUCUAGUGGUAAAGACUACAGCGGUAAUGUACCAUUGUGGUUCAAGUCCUACAGAAGUCAUUUUGUGAUUUGAAAAUGGUUGAAUUUUAAUUAUACAAUCUAGAGAAAAAGGUUAAGGUGAAUAAGUUGCGGUAGGCUACAGACAACGAGCAAGUGGUCUAGUGGUAAACACUACAGGUUGUGUAAUGUACCAUUGUGGUUCAAGUCCUACAAAAGUCAUUUUGUGAUUCGAAAAUGGUUGAAUUUUAAUUAUACAAUCUAGAGAAAAAGGUUAAGGUGAAUAAGUUGCGAUAGGCUACAGACAACGAGCAAGUGGUCUAGUGGUAAAGAUUACAGGUUGUGUAAUGUACCAUUGUGGUUCAAGUCCUACAGAAGUCAUUAUCUGAUUCGAAAAUGGUUGAAUUUUAAUUAUACAAUCUACAGAAAAAGGUUAAGGUGAAUAAGUUGCGGUAGGCUACAGACAACGAGC